UUAAGUUCAGCGGGUAUUCCUACCUGAUCCGAGGUCAACCUUUAGAAAUUGGUGUGUUUUACGGCAGGGGACGAUCCAACUACAGAGACGAGAUAAAAUUUACUACGCCUAGAGUGUGAACCGACUCCGCCACUAACUUUAAGGAACUACAUCGCUGUAUGUUCCCAACGCUAAGCAACAGGGGCUUAAGGGUUGAAAUG
rnacentral:misc_RNA from 1 species